UACGUAGGCAGCAAGCGUUGUUCGGAGUUACUGGGCGUAAAGGGUGCGUAGGCGGCUUUUUAAGUUUGGUGUGAAAUCUCCCGGCUCAACUGGGAGGGUGCGCUAUAGACUGUGGGACUAGAGUGUGGGAGAGGAAAGUGGAAUUCCUGGUGUAGCGGUGAAAUGCGUAGAUAUCAGGAGGAACACCGGUGGUGUAAACGCUUUCUGGACCAUAACUGACGCUGAGGCACGAAAGCGUGGGUAGCAAACAGG
rnacentral:rRNA from 1 species